UACAGAGGCCUCGAGCGUUAGGCGGAAUCACUGGGCUUAAAGCGUGUGUAGGCGGACUUCUAAGUACCUUGUGAAAUCCCACGGCUCACCCGUGGAACUGCUCGGUAUACUGGUCGUCUUUGAGCCUUCUAGGGGCGAGUGGAACAAAUGGUGGAGCGGUGAAAUGCGUAGAUAUCAUUUGGAACGCCAAUGGUGAAAACAGCUCGCUGGGGCUGCGCUGACGCUGAGACACGAAAGCCAGGGGAGCGAACGGG
rnacentral:rRNA from 1 species